AGGAAUUUAGGUUAAUCCAAGACCAAGAGCCUUCAAAGCUCUAAGUAAGUGUUAACACUUAAUUCCUG
rnacentral:tRNA from 1 species